AAGAGCUGAAAAAAAAAUAUCGUUAACAUUCUGCCAUAUAAACGAUCAUAUCGUUAAAUUUAUUUUCAAUUUUUAUUAAAUUUUUAAAAAGGAGGGGAAAAAAUUGAUCAUUUAUUUUUUAGAAUUGUCUCGAUUUCUAAAAAAGUUAAAUUGUUUCAAUUUAAAUGAAGUUUUAUUAGUAAUUUUAUUAGUUACAAGUACUUGAUACUUGAUCAUCAAUCUUUAUAAACGGACUUUAUAAAUAUUGUUCAAUCAUAUUAGGAAAAAAUGCAAACUUGAUUAGUCAUAAAAUCGAUUUUAAUCUACUUCUAGCCACGAGCUAAAGUGAUUUGUAAAAAAGUAAAAAAAUUAAAGAGCAAAUGUCAAAACUCAAUAUCUUAUAAAGUUUUAUGAUAUUUAAACAGUUUUGAAUGCUCUGUUUCUCCGAUAUCUGCAAUUAAUGUCUAUUGUAACUGUCGAUUUCAUUAUCGCACAAAAAUAGCACAAAUUUCCAUCCUACGUCGAAUAGUAACAGAUUAAUGCCGGUGUUACCAGUAGUACAAACGUUCGUUCGAGCAGUAUGCAUAUGUGGCUUCUCGCAACUGUAAUUAUGUGUGUUUUUUUAUUUGCAAUAAAAAAAUCUUACAAUAUUGAUUUUAAAAAUUGGCCGUUUUCCUCCUAAUUGUCACACCACGAUGAAAUACUUAGAAGAAUGAAAAAAGGAAUCUAAUAAACUUUGGAAAGACGUAUACGUGUAUAUAUAAGUACUCACGGUAUCGAAGAACUCGGUGAACUUGCUGAUGUAAUACCACCAACAUGUGUUGGCCAUUCGUAGCGCCAUAGCGUUGUUGGAAUAGUCGACCGGUUGGCACCGGAAACUGUAUCCUUUCGCCCAGCCACUCAUCAAGUACUAAAACAAGAAAAUGGUGGAAAGUGAAGACAAUAAAAGGGGGCGCAUUCACCGGCACGGGGACGGCUGCGAGUUAUACAGUUCCGACUGUACGACAAUCAGCAUAUAGAGUGCGAUCGCCCGCUUUUCACCGGGAAACUCUGUUCCUCCGCUCGCUUUGUUCGAUC